rnacentral:tRNA from 1 species
GUGGCUGGCUUGAAACCAGCAUAUGGGGGUUCAAUUCCUCCCUUUCUCG